rnacentral:rRNA from 1 species
AACGAACGCUGGCGGCAUGCCUAACACAUGCAAGUCGAACGAGACCUUCGGGUCUAGUGGCGCACGGGUGCGUAACCCGUGGGAACCUGCCCUUAGGUUCGGAAUAACUCCCCGAAAGGGGUGCUAAUACCGGAUAAUGUCUUCGGACCAAAGAUUUAUCGCCUUUGGAUGGGCCGUCGUUGGAUUAGCUAGUUGGUAGGGUAAAAGCCUACCAAGGCGACGAUCCAUAGCUUGUCUGAGAGGAUGAUCAGCCACACUGGGACUGAGACACGGCCCAGACUCCUACGGGAGGCAGCAGUGGGGAAUAUUGGACAAUGGGCGAAAGCCUGAUCCAGCAAUGCCGCGUGAGUGAUGAAGGCCUUAGGGUUGUAAAGCUCUUUUACCCGGGAUGAUAAUGACAGUACCGGGAGAAUAAGCUCCGGCUAACUCCGUG